GACGAACGCUGGCGGCGUGCUUAACACAUGCAAGUCGAACGAUGAACCCGGAGCUUGCUCCGGUGGAUUAGUGGCGAACGUGUGAGUAACACGUGAGUAACCUGCCCUUGACUCUGGGAUAACUGCGGGAAACUGUAGCUAAUACCGGAUACGACCCUCGGCGGCAUCGCCAGGGGGUGGAAAGAAUUUCGGUCAAGGAUGGACUCGCGGCCUAUCAGCUAGUUGGUGAGGUAACGGCGCACCAAGGCGACGAGGGGUAGGCGGCCUGAGAGGGUGAACGGGCACACUGGGAAUGAGACACGGCCCUGACUACUACGGGAGGCAGCAGUGGGGAAUAUUGCACAAUGGGCGAAAGCCUGAUGCAGCAACGCCGCGUGAGGGAUGACGGCCUUCGGGUUGUAAACCUCUUUUAGUAGGGAAGAAGCGAAAGUGACGGUACCUGCAGAAAAAGCACCGGCUAACUACGUGCCAGCCGCCGCAGUAA
rnacentral:rRNA from 1 species